GUGUGGAUAUGUCACAGUCAAAGCAGACAUUUCGAUAUGGAACUAAGGUUACAAGUCAGCUGAGACUCUCAGUCUCAGAUGUGUGUCAUCGUGCCUGGCUAAGGGGAAGCCUUUGUGUGUCUCCCACAGCAAGACUAAGAACAAAGAGGCUGGAUUGGAGUUUUCUUCCAGAGCUCUGAAAGACCCUGGCAACAACAGAACAUCAAAGACUACUGAGAAGCUGGGAUUCAUUUGGUUGGAAAAUGAAUACAUCCCCAUCUCCUCCCUUCCGGUCACAUGCCUGUGUGUCCUUGUGAUUUCCACUGAGGUGUGGUAGUGAGCAAGAAGGAGGUGACGAAGGACUGGCUUCUUGCUUCCUAUCUAGAGGUUCUUUAUUGUCAAUAUUCUUCCUCUACCCACUGAAGACUACCAAUUCUGAAAAAGGAUCCAUUAAACAAAUCUCCAUGGA